rnacentral:sRNA from 1 species
UGACCACCCCUUUCGGGUUAAAGGCCAUACGGACAGCCGGGUCAACUGCCGA